rnacentral:rRNA from 1 species
UACGUAGGGUGCGAGCGUUGUCCGGAAUUAUUGGGCGUAAAGAGCUUGUAGGCGGUUUGUCGCGUCUGCUGUGAAAAUCCGGGGCUCAACCCCGGACUUGCAGUGGGUACGGGCAGACUAGAGUGCGGUAGGGGAGACUGGAAUUCCUGGUGUAGCGGUGAAAUGCGCAGAUAAUCAGGAGGAACACCGACGGCGCAGGCAGCGCCCUGGUCGCUUGCUGACACUGAGGCACGAAAGCUGGGGGAGCAAACAGG